rnacentral:rRNA from 1 species
GUUGAAACACCGGUUCCCGUACGAUCGAAGAAGUUAAGCAACGUCGAGCCUGGUCAGUACCUAGAUGGGUGACCGCUUGGGAAUACCAGGUGCU